CUCGCUUUCAAAUCGUAGAUCUUGUUAAUCAAAAAUUCGCAGAUUAAAAAUCAAUAACCAGGAUGAGUAAGAAGGAAACGAAAGGCACAUUACUAAAUUUCGUGCAAAGAAAGGAUUCUCCAGAACCAAGUACGUCGUUCGCCCAUUCGAAUUCAGAUGAAGGAACUUGUGAAUGAGAAAAACAAAAAGUCGAAGUUAGGAGAAGGAGGAAUGGCAUCAUCAGCGGGACUUAACAGCAGCUCCUGUUGUACCUGGUAACAACGGUAUUUUCUCCGAAAAUUUUCUCUUUGCUGUUGAAUACUAAGUAAUAUUUCAUGAAAUUUACGGAGGCAGGUGCCA